UCAUCUUCGGGGGUAGAGCACUGUUUCGGCUAGGGGGUCAUCCCGACUUACCAACCCGAUGCAAACUGCGAAUACCGAAGAAUGUUAUCACGGGAGACACACGGCGGGUGCUAACGUCCGUCGUGAAGAGGGAAACAACCCAGACCGCCAGCUAAGGUCCCAAAGUCAUGGUUAAGUGGGAAACGAUGUGGGAAGGCACAGACAGCCAGGAUGUUGGCUUAGAAGCAGCCAUCAUUUAAAGAAAGCGUAAUAGCUCACUGGUCGAGUCGGCCUGCGCGGAAGAUGUAACGGGGCUAAACCAUGCACCGAAGCUGCGGCAGCGACACUAUGUGUUGUUGGGUAGGGGAGCGUUCUGUAAGCCGUUGAAGGUGUAUCGUGAGGUAUGCUGGAGGUAUCAGAAGUGCGAAUGCUGACAUAAGUAACGAUAAUGCGGGUGAAAAACCCGCACGCCGGAAGACCAAGGGUUCCUGUCCAACGUUAAUCGGGGCAGGGUGAGUCGACCCCUAAGGCGAGGCCGAAAGGCGUAGUCGAUGGGAAACAGGUUAAUAUUCCUGUACUUGGUGUUACUGCGAAGGGGGGACGGAGAAGGCUAUGUUAGCCGGGCGACGGUUGUCCCGGUUUAAGCAUGUAGGCGGAGGUUCCAGGUAAAUCCGGUACCUUUUUAACGCUGAGGUGUGAUGACGAGGCACUACGGUGCUGAAGUAACAAAUGCCCUGCUUCCAGGAAAAGCCUCUAAGCAUCAGGUAACACGAAAUCGUACCCCAAACCGACACAGGUGGUCAGGUAGAGAAUACCAAGGCGCUUGAGAGAACUCGGGUGAAGGAACUAGGCAAAAUGGUGCCGUAACUUCGGGAGAAGGCACGCUGAUAUGUAGGUGAAGUGAUUUACUCAUGGAGCUGAAAUCAGUCGAAGAUACCAGCUGGCUGCAACUGUUUAUUAAAAACACAGCACUGUGCAAACACGAAAGUGGACGUAUACGGUGUGACGCCUGCCCGGUGCCGGAAGGUUAAUUGAUGGGGUUAUCCGUAAGGAGAAGCUCUUGAUCGAAGCCCCGGUAAACGGCGGCCGUAACUAUAACGGUCCUAAGGUAGCGAAAUUCCUUGUCGGGUAAGUUCCGACCUGCACGAAUGGCGUAAUGAUGGCCAGGCUGUCUCCACCCGAGACUCAGUGAAAUUGAACUCGCUGUGAAGAUGCAGUGUACCCGCGGCAAGACGGAAAGACCCCGUGAACCUUUACUAUAGCUUGACACUGAACACUGGUCCUUGAUGUGUAGGAUAGGUGGGAGGCUUUGAAGUGUGGACGCCAGUCUGCAUGGAGCCAUCCUUGAAAUACCACCCUUUAAUGGCUGGUGUUCUAACGUGGACCCGU
rnacentral:rRNA from 1 species